rnacentral:rRNA from 1 species
ACGAACGCUGGCGGCGUGCUUAACACAUGCACGUCGAACGGAAAGGCCCUGCUUUUGUGGGGUGCUCGAGUGGCGAACGGGUGAGUAACACGUGAGUAACCUGCCCUUGACUUUGGGAUAACUUCAGGAAACUGGGGCUAAUACCGGAUAGGAGCUCCUGCUGCAUGGUGGGGGUUGGAAAGUUUCGGCGGUUGGGGAUGGACUCGCGGCUUAUCAGCUUGUUGGUGGGGUAGUGGCUUACCAAGGCUUUGACGGGUAGCCGGCCUGAGAGGGUGACCGGCCACAUUGGGACUGAGAUACGGCCCAGACUCCUACGGGAGGCAGCAGUGGGGAAUAUUGCACAAUGGGCGGAAGCCUGACGCAGCAACGCCGCGUGCGGGAUGACGGCCUUCGGGUUGUAAACCGCUUUCGCCUGUGACGAAGCGUGAGUGACGGUAAUGGGUAAAGAAGCACCGGCUAACUACGUG